rnacentral:rRNA from 1 species
GAUGAACGCUGGCGGCGUGCCUAAUACAUGCAAGUCGAGCGAAUGGAUUAAGAGCUUGCUCUUAUGAAGUUAGCGGCGGACGGGGGAGUAACACGUGGGUAACCUGCCCAUAAGACUGGGAUAACUCCGGGAAACCGGGGCUAAUACCGGAUAACAUUUUGAACCGCAUGGUUCGAAAUUGAAAGGCGGCUUCGGCUGUCACUUAUGGAUGGACCCGCGUCGCAUUAGCUAGUUGGUGAGGUAACGGCUCACCAAGGCAACGAUGCGUAGCCGACCGGAGAGGGUGAUCGGCCACACUGGGACUGCGACACGGCCCAGACUCCUACGGGAGGCAGCAGUAGGGAAUCUUUCGCAAUGGACGAAAGUCUGACGGAGCAACGCCGCGUGAGUGAUGAAGGCUUUCGGGUCGUAAAACUCUGUUGUUAGGGAAGAACAAGUGCUAGUUGAAUAAGCUGGCACCUUGACGGUACCUAACCAGAAAGCCACGGCUAACUACGUGCCAGCCGCCGCGGUAA